UUCAAAAAAAAAACGUGUGUAUACAUUGUGUGGAAGAAAACAAAUUACCGCCGAUGGCAACACUCCACUUCCAGUAAAAUAGAGGGUGGUUGAUUUUAUAGGAUAGUUGCUGUUGCAGAGUGCAGAGCCAAAGGCAAAGGUACAUGGAACUUUUCUCUAUACACUUUUUGGAAUUAGAUUCUAGUUCUAGCUUGCUGCGUGGUGCCUUAGCCUUUAAUUCUAAUUUGUGUGCCGAUGACUGAACAUGUAUGUCAGCCAGCGGCAACGGAACGCCAACAGUACACUACACUAAACUAAACUGUCAUAUCAUUCGUGUCGCGCAAUGUGGUUUUAUGUCAUCAACGACGACGACGUCGCGUUGUUGUAGUCGCCGUAUUUGACGUCGUGGUCGUGCGUCGUUCGUCGCAUAUAGUUUGCUCAUGGAACUGGAAGUUCAUCUUAAUCGAUUAUUGUGAGAGAAUACACCGAGUUAAUCGUCGUUGUCGUUAUUUGACAUCGUGUUUUGUUUUGCGUUAUCGUUUUUCAUUUAUCGGUCUCUUUUACUCCUCGCUCACAUGAAAUGUAUACAUACUUAAUUUGGCCUCUUUUGGGAGGAAAACAGAAAACAGAAAAUAUAUAGGGGGGCUUAGUUCUGGUACAGGGUGACACAAGCUCAUCGUCAACUUGGUGUUGUCCUCGUCCUCAUCGUUGUCGUCGUCUCCGUGUAUACGUCUCCGUCGCUUUUUGUAUUUCGGUCUAUCUAAAUGUGUGUAUAUGUGGCUUUUGUUGUCCUGCGUAUCCUGUUUUGAGGGCGCAUUCAAAUAAAAGAAUUAUAACCGAGAGUCGAUGACAACUUUCGGAGAUCCUUAUAAUUCUUUCUCUAUACAUGUGAGCAUAUACCUACAGUUUUCCUUUCUUUUUUUUCGAGUGAGUUUCCGAGAAGGAAAACUCUUUUUCCCCGAUUCGAUUUAUUACAAAAAAAAAGAAUUAAAAAAGUAGAAACAACCAACCAACAGAUAAAAAAGGAGAGAGUGUGUGUUAUAAGUUUUUGAAAGAAAGUUUUUCUUCCUUCCUUGAAGGACAUAAGUUUUUCUCGCAAAGAAAAGUGAACUUAUUCUUUAUUAUGAGAAUGUGUGUACAACAAAAAAAAAGUUUAUUAUGCUUGAUAAAUUUUCCUUUUCGUUUGAAUCGUGUAAAACUGUAAUUAAAUUUUAAUCCCCAAAAAAACACUUUUAUAUGAUCUCUAAAUUUUGAACUUUUGCCUCCACGAACACGAACCAACGAAUCAUCAUUACCAUCAUCAUAAUCGUGUUUCAAAGGAAACAAGGAAUUGAAAUAUAAUUUUAUGAGGUGUUAAAAACACACAAUCUUCCCUACUUUACUUUUUGUGGAUUAUAAAAGUUUUUCUUGUGGAAUACCUUCCGGAGUGUAUACUGUGUUGUACAUACGCAUAAGUUCGAGGGAUUCCAAAAUAACCCAUCAGAGAAUUUUUGAAGUAUUGCAUAGAUCUCUGUUUUGCUCAUCCUUUAUCACUGCCGUAUGGUCACAGUUACUUAGAGACACUCAACAAAGAGUUUAUUGUUAUAAGGGUCAUAAAUACCACUGGUUGGUAUGUUAUCCUGUGGGACAAGUAUUCAUCCAGCGAACCGAACCAUCCCAACCCCUGUACCGCAUCAUGUGUAUCAACUCAAGUCCCAAUGGAAAUUGGAUUGCUACGAUUUGAUGUAGAAAUAUUUAAAGUGUCCCAUUAUUUGAAAUAAAAUUAGACUUGUUUGUUAUUCA